UGAAAUCUGUCACCUCUAAGCCAGCCUCCUCUUGCCUUAAUUGCCAGUCAGCCACUUAGCCUAGGCUACCCAUGGAGUAAAAGCAGAAGCCCCAGAAGGGGAGGCAGUUGAAGGCCAAGGGAGACAGGUGGAUAGAGGGCAGCAAAGAGCAGGACCUCCCUGGGCUGUCAGCUCAAGCACAGACAUGCACCACAGCCACAGGGACUGCCCGAAGCAGCAGUCUGGGGACGUACUCACGGCCUCAGGUGUAUGACCUGGAGUGGAAUCAGCCCCGAUUCCUCUUCUCAGCUCUGGACCUCCUCCCUCCACCUUCCUGUGCCUUCCUACACUGUGUGCUUCCAGGCCUCAGUCUUUCUACCCAGGUAACAGGAGGCAGCUCUGUCUUGUCCUAGCCCUGCAUACCUUCAGUCUUCAUACUUUGCCCUCACUAUGCUCUGGAAACUAUCUGAGCAACUGUGAGUCAAAAGGAGCCUCAGAGCAGCCUGGGAGGUGGCACAGUGGAUAUAGCACUGGGCUCUUAAGCAUGAAGUACUGAAUUCCACCCCCAGCAUCCUAUGUACCAAGUGAUGUUCUGCUUCUCUCUCUUUAAUAAA